CUACGGGCCGCUCCAGGCGAGAAAACUUUGCAAUGUGCGAAAGCACGACAAGGUUAAUCCGAGUGGUUUCUGCUAAAGGAACCUUUUGACAGUCCUAGAAACACUGUUGAAUAAGGGGUGGGCAAGUUCUGGUGUCAGCCGCCGCGGUAAAACCAGCACCUCAAGUGGUCAGGAUGAUUAUUGGGCCUAAAGCAUCCGUAGCCGGCUCUGUAAGUUUUCGGUUAAAUCUGUACGCUCAACGUACAGGCUGCCGGGAAUACUGCAGAGCUAGGGAGUGGGAGAGGUAGACGGUACUCGGUAGGAAGGGGUAAAAUCCUUUGAUCUAUUGAUGACCACCUGUGGCGAAGGCGGUCUACCAGAACACGUCCGACGGUGAGGGAUGAAAGCUGGGGGAGCAAACCGGAUUAGAUACCCCUGUAGUC
rnacentral:rRNA from 1 species